rnacentral:rRNA from 1 species
UACGUAGGGUGCGAGCGUUAAUCGGAAUUACUGGGCGUAAAGCGUGCGCAGGCGGUUUUGUAAGCCAGGUGUGAAAUCCCCGGGCUCAACCUGGGAAUGGCAUUUGGGACUGCAAGGCUGGAGUGCGGCAGAGGAGACUGGAAUUCCUGGUGUAGCAGUGAAAUGCGUAGAUAUAGGAAGGAACAGCCAGUGGCGAAGGCGACCACCUGGACUGAUACUGACACUGAGGUGCGAAAGCGUGGGGAGCAAACAGG